CCUACGGGCGGCUGCAGUGGGGAAUCUUGGACAAUGGGGGGAACCCUGAUCCAGCAACGCCGCGUGAGCGAAGAAGGCCUUCGGGUCGUAAAGCUCUUUUCUGAGGGAAGAGGCAGGACGGUACCUCAGGAAUAAGUCUCGGCUAACUACGUGCCAGCAGCCGCGGUAAAACGUAGGAGGCGAGCGUUAUCCGGAUUUACUGGGCGUAAAGGGCAAGUAGGCGGUGGCUCAAGUUGGGCGUGACAUCUCCCGGCUCAACUGGGAGGGGUCGUUCAAAACUGGGUCACUAGAGGGCAGGAGAGGGAAGCGGAAUUCCUAGUGUAGCGGUGGAAUGCUCAGAUAUUAGGAAGAACACCAGUGGCGAAGGCGGCUUCCUGGCCUGCACCUGACGCUGAGAGGCGAAAGCUAGGGGAGCGAACGGGCUUAGAUACCCCAGUAGUC
rnacentral:rRNA from 1 species